UACGUAGGGCGCGAGCGUUGUCCGGAAUUAUUGGGCGUAAAGAGCUUGUAGGCGGUUUGUCGCGUCUGCUGUGAAAGGCCGGAGCUUAACUCCGUGUAUUGCAGUGGGUACGGGCAGACUAGAGUGCAGUAGGGGAGACUGGAAUUCCUGGUGUAGCGGUGGAAUGCGCAGAUAUCAGGAGGAACACCGAUGGCGAAGGCAGGUCUCUGGGCUGUAACUGACGCUGAGAAGCGAAAGCAUGGGGA
rnacentral:rRNA from 1 species